CGGAGGAUCCAAGCGUUAUCCGGAUUUAUUGGGUUUAAAGGGUGCGUAGGCGGCUUAUUAAGUCAGGGGUGAAAGACGGUGGCUCAACCAUCGCAGUGCCUUUGAUACUGAUGAGCUUGAAUGAACUAGAGGUAGGCGGAAUGUGACAAGUAGCGGUGAAAUGCAUAGAUAUGUCACAGAACACCGAUUGCGAAGGCAGCUUACUAUGGUUUAUUGACGCUGAGGCACGAAAGCGUGGGAUCAAACAGGAUU
rnacentral:rRNA from 1 species